AGCUCCAGUAGCGUAUAUUAAAGUUGUUGCAGUUAAAAAGCUCGUAGUUGGAUUUCUGGCGAGGCAGAGCUAACCUGGCGCCUAGCGUCUCGUGUUGGACUCUGCCUGCCAUCCUUCCAGAGAACGACAAUACCAUUCAUUUGGCCGUUGUUGCAAUCUGGAACUUUUACUUUGAAAAAAUUAGAGUGUUCAAAGCAGGCGUUACGCUAUGAAUACAUUAGCAUGGAAUAAUAAUUUAGGACUUGGGUUCUAUUUUGUUGGUUCUAGGACCGAAGUAAUGAUUGAUAGGGAUAGUUGGGGGUGCUAGUAUUCAGCGGCCAGAGGUGAAAUUCUUGGAUUCGCUGAAGACUAACUUAUGCGAAAGCAUUCACCAAGGAUGUCUUCUUUAAUCAAGAACGAA
rnacentral:rRNA from 1 species